AUCUCGUAAAACGCGGGAAAACCACAAACGCCAACAACAACUUGGCACUGGCUGCAUAAGUAGCCCCUCCGUCCCGCCUCGCCGGUCGGGCGGGAGCCGGGGGUAAUCAGAUCGGCUAGUCCCUCGCCGUUGCCUGGGCGAACGGGGGGCGAAACUCAAGUCAGGCUAGCUCCCGGCCGUCGCGCGCCGCGACAAAGCAGGGAGCGAAAUCUAACCCGGCGCUACACCCGUAGACGCUUCAAUCGCACCUCUUCGGACGCGGGUUCGAUUCCCGCCACCUCCACCA
rnacentral:tmRNA from 1 species